rnacentral:lncRNA from 1 species
AAAGAACUCUCUGGUGGUGACAUCAUGGCUGCUCCUUCGUCAGAUAAACUUUUCUCAUGCCACUGUGCUUCAGCUCUGUAAUGUCAUACAUUUUUAUCCAUAUAUAUGUCAAUAUAUGUAGUAACUCUGGAUAUUUUUCAAGACUCGGUUGUUAAGAUGAGGGUCUCAGCUCUAUGGAUUCUACUUUUGUGUACCCUUGCAGACUUUUGUUUGAGCUGUUUUACAUGUUUUGUAGAACCAUAUGAUAUUUCUUUAAUAUGUGAUGCCUAUUUUACACAGAAUCAUCGAGACUGUGUUUUAAUAGCUGAAAGAAGCAUCGAUAACAAUCAGAAAGUAUUGGAAGCUGCCAGAGUUGGGCCAGGCUAUGAAAAUCAGCUGAAAGACCUCAUGAAUGCAGAGAUCUCACCCUACCUGCAAAAGUUUGAUGGGAACUUGAAAGACAACAUUUACUAUGAAAACCUGUUCCAAAGUAUUGCUGACAAUUUCACCGCAGAAGCUUCCAAACUGCCCAGAGCACCUGGAUGCUUUCCCCCAUGUGUGACUCCUCAGGUGGUGGUAGGUCAUGCUGAACUGCAGGAUAUAUUUAACAUCGCUCUCCUUCCGGGGGGUCAAAUCCCACCCCACCUAGUUGCUGCACAUGAACUCACCCUGAUAGAUGUUCCCUCCCCUGCUCUCCUGACUGCGUGUCUGACUGCAAUGCUGUUGAUGCUCUUCCUUUCCAUGGGGUUUUUGUACUGGUGGUGGACUCAGAGAACAGAGUCCAGUCCUGAUGAAUAUCAAGCUCUGAGCCGCCCAGUGACGAGAACAGUUUUGCUUCAGUGAAGGCCUUCAGAUUCUCCAGAUUCUUCUUUGAGCGGUUCUGGAAUUUGACAAUUUCUCACAUUCAUAUAAACCCAUUUCCUGGAAUUACACUCACUUUUCUCAAAAUUACAAUCACAAAAUCAAGAACUCAUACUUCACCAAACAACAAAACAAAAAUGACUGAAAAGCACAUUAACUUUGUUCAAAAUUUGCUUUCCCUUCAGAUCACAUUAACAGUAAACAAAUUUUAUGCCUUAUUACUUGAACAGCAAAGCUACUUGUGAUGCAUUAACUUUUGUCUCUCGACAUAAAAUAUUAGAACCUUUAUUCUGCAUUGCAAAUCUGGAAGACAUAGAGGUAUUCAUGUAUCAACAUCCUGUACUUCCAGGAAUUUAACACUGGCCCAAAUCCAGACUGUUACAUUGUGUAUUAGAUGACACAAAAAAUCUGCUCUGCUAUUGUGAAAUGAAAUAUUUCUAAGUCAUCUGCAAUCUUUUUCUCCCCUGGAAAUUUAAAUAUACUUUUUUCUGAGUUCUGCGUGCAAGUUUUAUCUAAAUGUACUACCUAAAAGUAAGAGAAAGGGAGACAGGGAUUUUGGGAUGCAAUGAAAGGAUGAAUCUGUGAUAAAAGACCCUCAAUUCCAGAUUGAAACCUGAUGGAAGGAUAUAGGAUGGAGUAGCUGAAUGAAGCCACUAGCAGCGGUGACACGUUAAAGUGAUCCAUGAAGAUAUGAAUAGGGAAAGGUGGGCGAUAUAGAACACUCACUGAAAGGAUACAGAAAAGUGGAGAAAUUCAAGCAUGAAGGAGGAAAGGGAAGAGAUGGGAUUCCAAUUCAUGGAGCAAACCUGUAGCUUGUACCCGUGUUAAAGGGCUGGUGGAAAAAGAAUAGUUUGAGAAGUGAUACACUGUAGUGGCUGAAAGCAAGAUGUAAGCAGACAUGAAAUCUGCCCUCUGCAAGGCACUCUGUUAUUUUCAGAUACCAUGAUGAAACUCAAGAGGGUGGGAUGAGCUCUAGGAGGUCAAACUAAGUUGCUAAUGUCUGUGAUGACAUCGAUUGCCUAUACUGGUAUCCUAGGUCAGAAGGAAUAAAGCACAUUUUCUUAACA